UGCUGCAUGCUGUCGUCAGCUCGUGUCGUGAGAUGUUCGGUUAAGUCCGCUAACGAGCGCAACCCUCGCUGUGUGUUACAAGUGUCACACGGAACUGCCGGUCAUAAACCGGAGGAAGGUGGGGAUGACGUCAAGUCAGCAUGGCCUUUAUAUCCUGGGCUACACACACGCUACAAUGGCCAACACAAUAGGUUGCUAAGCCGCGAGGUGGCGCCAAUCCAUAAAGUUGGUCUCAGUUCAGAUUGUAGGCUGCAACCCGCCUGCAUGAAGAUGGAGUUGCUAGUAACCGCAGGUCAGCUAUACUGCGGUGAAUACGUUCCCGGGGCUU
rnacentral:rRNA from 1 species